rnacentral:siRNA from 1 species
UAUUGUCUAUAUAGGUGUAGCUGC